CCUACGGGGGGCUGCAGUGGGGAAUAUUGCACAAUGGGGGAAACCCUGAUGCAGCGACGCCGCGUGAGUGAAGAAGUAAUUCGUUAUGUAAAGCUCUAUCAGCAGGGAAGAAAAUGACGGUACCUGAGUAAGAAGCCCCGGCUAACUACGUGCCAGCCUCCGCGGUAAUACGUAGGGGGCAAGCGUUAUCCGGAUUUACUGGGUGGAAAGGGAGCGUAGACGGCAGUGCAAGUCUGGAGUGAAAGGCGGGGGCUCAACCCCCGGACUGCUCUGGAAACUGUACGGCUGGAGUGCAGGAGAGGUAAGUAGAAUUCCUAGUGUAGCGGUGAAAUGCGUAGAUAUUAGGAGGAACACCAGUGGCGAAGGCGGCUUACUGGACUGUAACUGACGUUGAGGCUCGAAAGCGUGGGGAGCAAACAGGAUUAGAUACCCCAGUAGUC
rnacentral:rRNA from 1 species